AGGCAUUUUACUUUGCGUAGACGUCGUUUCAACUCUUCUCAUCCACACAUUCAUCAAUAAUUUUACAAAUGAGAAGCGUCGUAAUAUUUUUUAUCCAUAAUGUCUAAAUAUGUAGAGAUAAAAAGACCCUGAACAGUUGUCACAUCUUCAAUACACAUAGGGAAUAAUACGAUAUUUGACUGCCUUGCAGUACUUCUCCCAAUCUUCACCAUACUUUACACGGCAUUUGUGAUCAUCCCGUGCAUUUCUAUGAACAAGAAGCACACCAAAAUAGGCAACAUAAAAGUACGGGAUCGGUGAACCAAAUCCAGCAGGUAAACACCAAGCCCAAGCCAUAAUCCAAUCACCAAAAUAGUUGAUGUGGCGUGCCAUUCCCCACCAACCACUAGUUAAAAGUUUAGUUCCACGUUUAGUCUGGAUAAAUUUUAAGUGUUUGAGCUUGGGAUCGUUAGGAUUGCUUCGGAACCUAUUCUUCUGACCAUUGGCGCCACGGAAAAUAUAGUAUCCAAGGAACUGUAAGCAUAAAAUCGCCAAUGUUUUGACAAGUCCUAAAUCCACGGGAUGAAAGGCUAAAUAGCGAGCUUGCAAAGAAUAGAGAAAUGGAACCCACACGAGAUCCCCAAAGCUCAGCAUGUAGCCAAACCCAUCUGUGGUAAUGUCCAUGGUAGUCAAAACAGCACUCUCGUUGAUUAGAGAAUCCAGAACAUACCAUGUAUGGAAAAUAAUAACCAGAACCAUGCUGUCUGUAAUUCUACCUCCUAACACCAGGUACUGAUGGCAUGCAAAAGCAAUGUCAAAAACGACCCAUAAAAUUAGACCGGGACGAAGUUCACAAAAACACUUGAUAUCAAAAUUGCCUAUUCUAGGAUUGAGGCUGCGGCCAAUAAACCAGUCAAAUAAAAUGUUUCCAGAAGUCCCCCCUUUAGCAAGUUGCUGCUUUCCAAAAAAAGACUGAACGUAGCAAAACGUGCAUAAAACUACUGAAAAAACGUAUGCAGCAAACAUCAACUGUAAAAAGUUAUCCCAAAUAAAUUCCAUGCAGCUAGCUCCCAACAGGUAUAUUGAGGUACAAACGACACCAAGUAUUAGGCAAGCUGAGUUAAAACCAUUUAUUUUAUAAAGUAAUCUUGUCCCUUUGUCGUCUAUAGGUGUACCCUUUGCCCAUUUUCCAUUCGUGCAUUUCCAUAACAAAGUGAGAGUACUAAACCAAAGCAAGUACAAAAUUAAAGACUUUUGGUCAAAUAGAGGAGUUUUUUUAAAUAUAUGAGAGAUUUUAGAGAAUUUAGCCGGGCAUCCUUCCUCAUUACAGAUAUAAAAUGAACCAAAAGAUACGACGGUCGUUAAAACAGUAACACCUAAAGCGCCAAUGGGCCCAAAAAAUUCAUAUUCGAAUUUCUCCUUUUUUACCGCACCUUUAGCCAUUUUCAAAAAGUUCUAUGAAAUGGCAGUAGCAACUAGGAGUUUCGAAGAUGUUAUGGAGUAUCUUUAUUUAAAUGCCAUGUCGCAUGAUAUACAUAAUAUGUGUUACCUUAAUGAUCUUAUUCCAACGUAGGCCUUUUUGCUCCUCCAAACAACAGAAAAAUCAUAAAAAUGAUGAUUUUCAUAAGCUUCGGCUCGUUUAAUGCUUAUUUAAUUAAUAAAUCAGCGGUCCGUCAGGGAUGUGUUCUUACCAUACGUUCGCAAGCCAGCAAUACAAAUUAGUAAAACAAUUGUAGAUCUUUAGAAUACCAAUAUACAAAAUUAGUUACUUAUCUGA